CUGUGGAAGAGAGUUUGUUCGGAGACAACAACGGAGAUCAAUCUUCUUGCUGAAAAUUGGAAAUAUAUUCUUGGUGGCUUAAUAUUCCAGGUUUUUAAUUUGUUCUUCCUUUUUUGUUAUUAGCCUUUUUUUCUAUAACCGUAUGCUGUACCUGCCAGCUAGCACGGGAUACGUGCCCGCUCCAACCAGCUCUCUACCAAGGAUUGGAUAGAUGGAAAGAAGAAAGAAACCAACUAGUAGUAUUUUUGAACCUGAGACCUUUCUCGGUCAAAUUAUUAACCACUAGGCCACGCACUUAGGUUAGGUGCUAUUAGCCUCUUUUGUUGCACACAAUUUGAAAAAGAGAACGUGGGGAAAAAACUUCUCUUUUUGGGUGUUUGGUUGAAAAGCAGUUUUUAUCAAAAGUUCAUCUUUCUCUGCUAGCGUUUGGCCAUAGAUUACAAAUUUGUUUUGAAAAAUCUGAU
rnacentral:lncRNA from 1 species